CCUACGGGAGGCAGCAGUGAGGAAUAUUGGUCAAUGGGCGAGAGCCUGAACCAGCCAAGUCGCGUGAGGGAAGACGGUCCUACGGAUUGUAAACCUCUUUUGUCGGGGAGCAAGGCCCGCCACGUGUGGUGGGAAGGAGAGUACCCGAAGAAAAAGCAUCGGCUAACUCCGUGCCAGCAGCCGCGGUAAUACGGAGGAUGCGAGCGUUAUCCGGAUUGAUUGGGUGUAAAGGGUGCGUAGGCGGAAGGUUAAGUCAGCGGUCAAAUGUCGGUGCUCAAGACCGGCCGGCCGUUGAAACUGGUCUUCUUGAGUGAGCGAGAAGUAUGCGGAAUGCGUGGUGUAGCGGUGAAAUGCAGAGAUAUCACGCAGAACUCCGAUUGCGAAGGCAGCAUACCGGCGCUCAACUGACGCUGAGGCACGAAAGCGUGGGGAUCGAACAGGAUUAGAUACCCUAGUAGUC
rnacentral:rRNA from 1 species